ensembl:lncRNA
ACAAGACAUUGUUCACUCAGUACAUACAGAUAAUGAUUUGCUUUAUUACCAGUUUCCUGAUCCCCCCUUCAAAUGGAACAAGAACCUGUAUUUCUGCAACUGUAUUUUCAUUUGUCUUCAGUCACCUUUAAUCGAUGAGUCAGCAGGUUUGCUGUGUCUGCUGGUCAGAGCCCAGAACUCAGCUUCUGAAACGUGGGAAGGCAGUCUCCAGUUGAGCCCACUCAACAGGCAAAGAGAGACACAUCCCUCUCCUACACUGUGAAACAGCCCCUCCUAACAG